ensembl:snRNA U6atac minor spliceosomal RNA
GUGUUGUAUGAAAGGAGAGAAGGUUAGUACUCCCCUUGACAAGGCUGGAAGAGGGAUUUGGGCCUAACAACAUGCAUAUGGUUAAGGCAUUGCCACCUACUUCCUGGCAUCUAAUCACUGUUUUUA